rnacentral:rRNA from 1 species
UACGAAGGGGGCUAGCGUUGCUCGGAAUCACUGGGCGUAAAGGGUACGUAGGCGGGUCUUUAAGUCAGAGGUGAAAUCCUGGAGCUCAACUCCAGAACUGCCUUUGAUACUGAGGAUCUUGAGUACGGGAGAGGUGAGUGGAACUGCGAGUGUAGAGGUGAAAUUCGUAGAUAUUCGCAAGAACACCAGUGGCGAAGGCGGCUCACUGGCCCGUUACUGACGCUGAGGCACGAAAGCGUGGGGAGCAAACAGG